rnacentral:misc_RNA from 1 species
GAAAUGCGAUAAGUAAUGUGAAUUGCAGAAUUCAGUGAAUCAUCGAAUCUUUGAACGCACCUUGCGCUCCUUGGUAUUCCUUGGAGCAUGCCUGUUUGAGUAUCAUGAAAUCUUCAAAGUAAAUCUUUUGUUAACUCAAUUGGUUUCUACUUUGGUAUUGGAGGUCUUUGCAGCUUCACACCUGCUCCUCUUUGUUCAUUAGCUGGAUCUCAGUGUUAUGCUUGGUUCCACACGGCGUGAUAAGUUAUCUAUCGCUGAGGACACUGUAAAAGGUGGCCAAGGUAAAUGCAGAUGAACCGCUUCUAAUAGUCCAUUGACUUGGACAAUACUUUUAUGAUCUGAUCUCAAAUCAGGUAGGACUACCCGCUGAACUUAAGC